rnacentral:rRNA from 1 species
UACGGGGGGAGCAAGCGUUGUUCGGAUUUACUGGGCGUAAAGGGCGCGUAGGCGGCCACCGCAAGUCGGUUGUGAAAUCUCCGGGCUUAACCCGGAAAGGUCAAUCGAUACUGCGGGGCUAGAGUGCAGAAGGGGCAACUGGAAUCCUCGGUGUAGCGGUGAAAUGCGUAGAUAUCUGGAAGAACACCGGUGGCGCAAGCGGAUUGCUGGGCCAUAACUGACGCUGAGGAACGAAAGCUAGGGGAGCAAAUGGG